CGGCUUGCUGGAAGCGCAGUGGAGAGGGAAAAGGGAGGGAAGUGGUGUGAGCUCUGCCAACACACCUGCACAAGCUUUGGGCUCUCCUGGACACUCUGUGCACUAAUGAUGUAUAACCUGUAGAGCCUGGCAACACGCUUUCUGAAGACUAAAACAGACAGACUGUGCGUGCCUCUGAUUUCUAAUUUCUUAAAACAAGUAAUAACCCCUCCUCCUCCAACCCUGUGCUGUAGGUAAAUGCUUGGGAUGGAAACUGAGAUGUACUCAGCUGGUGAAAGCUUCUACCAAGUGAAUGAACAAGCCUGAAUGAAACAGCUUCUAGUUUUUGCUGAUGCACUUCUGUAUGCAACAAUCAAUCCAUUCCUCCUGAAGCUGCCACUGGGAGAAAAUGGCUGCUGCUACUCAGCUACAAGUUCUCACUCCUGUUUGGAGGUUUAUGAGACCAGCUUGGCCUGAGUGUGGCCUGUAAGUGCACCUCUGGAUAUCACAAACCUCCUCAAAUGCAUCGGCCAGAUGGAGGGAGCUCUCCUGGAGGCUGGGGCAGUUUAUACUAGUGGAGGAUCUGGCCUGCAAACACCUGCAUCUGUGGUAUGAGGACAAAUAAAGGCCCAUACUCCAAACAUGGUGUGCUCCUAGGCUCCUAAGCUGCACAAAAUCCCAUUUCCUUUCUACUUGUACUAAAUGUAAAAACAGAAACAAAGGCACACACCUAAAUAAACAGAAAAGCACAGACAACAGAAGAGGAGAGGGGCCCUAGUGCAAGCCCCAAGCCAACUAGUACAAAGAGGUACUUUCUAUUUGCAGUCCUUUGUGUGAGGCCUUGCCAUAUCACGUGGAUGAGAAUGUGAGUGGGAGUCUUGCUGGACAACACUGGUUUUAUAAAUGUCUCACAACUGCAGAAACACCUGCUUUACAUUAUUUUUCUUACUGGUCUACAACAAAAAUCCUCUCUGGUGAACAGUCCUCAGCAGGCCUUGUUCCUUCCUUCUUUGUGGACAGCUCAAGUCACUGGUCUGGAACAUCUCACGAUCACACCGGAACCUCACUGAGGAGGAGGUGGAAAUCAGAAGGGAGAAGGGCACUUCUGCAUGAAA
ensembl:lncRNA